GACGAACGCUGGCGGCGUGCUUAACACAUGCAAGUCGAGCGGUAAGGCCCUUUCGGGGGUACACGAGCGGCGAACGGGUGAGUAACACGUGGGUGACCUGCCCUCAGCUCUGGGAUAAGCCUGGGAAACCGGGUCUAAUACUGGAUAUGACUCCAUGACGCAUGUUGUGGGGUGGAAAGCCUUGUGCGGCUGAGGAUGGGCCCGCGGCCUAUCAGCUUGUUGGUGGGGUGAUGGCCUACCAAGGCGACGACGGGUAGCCGGCCUGAGAGGGCGACCGGCCACACUGGGGACUGAGACACGGCCCAGACUCCUACGGGAGGCAGCAGUGGGGAAUCUUGCGCAAUGGGCGAAAGCCUGACGCAGCGACGCCGCGUGAGGGAUGACGGCCU
rnacentral:rRNA from 1 species